GUAGGGAUGGAAACAGAGGACAAAGAUGACACAAAUGCACAAUGGGAUGAUGACAGACGAUGGUAACUUAAACCGACAUAAUAAGGAUUAGGAUUAAGUGUGGACCGUAUACCUUUUCGUAGUGCAACCGGUUGAUCAAGAGGAUACAAGUCCGCAAUAUUAGCAGGGUCAGGUGUAGGACGUGAAUCAGCUGGGCCUGAUGCUGGAUGCGGACGACGAUGAUAAGUUAGGAGGGGUGGAGCUGUAGAAGGUUGAACUGGACUAGGUGGUGGCACUGGAGCUAUAGUUGGUGGCACUGGAGCUAUAGUUGGUGGCACUGGACUCGGUGGUGGC
rnacentral:lncRNA from 1 species